rnacentral:rRNA from 1 species
GAUGAACGCUGGCGGCGUGCCUAACACAUGCAAGUCGAGCGAUCUUCUUCGGAAGAGAGCGGCGGACGGGUGAGUAACGCGUGGGUAACCUGCCUCAUACACAUGGAUAACAUACCGAAAGGUAUGCUAAUACAAGAUGAUAUAAGAGAUUCGCAUGGGUUUCUUAUCAAAGCUCCGGCGGUAUGAGAUGGACCCGCGUCUGAUUAGCUAGUUGGUAAGGUAACGGCUUACCAAGGCGACGAUCAGUAGCCGACCUGAGAGGGUGAUCGGCCACAUUGGAACUGAGACACGGUCCAAACUCCUACGGGAGGCAGCAGUGGGGAAUAUUGCACAAUGGGCGAAAGCCUGAUGCAGCAACGCCGCGUGAGCGAUGAAGGCCUUCGGGUCGUAAAGCUCUGUCCUCAAGGAAGAUAAUGACGGUACUUGAGGAGGAAGCCCCGGCUAACUACGUGCCAGCAGCCGCGGUAAUACGUAGGGGGCUAGCGUUAUCCGGAUUUACUGGGCGUAAAGGGUGCGUAGGUGGUUUCUUAAGUCAGGAGUGAAAGGCUACGGCUCAACCGUAGUAAGCUCUUGAAACUGGGAAACUUGAGUGCAGGAGAGGAAAGUGGAAUUCCUAGUGUAGCGGU